AAGAAUCGACUGAGAAUCUGAAGGAAUUUAUGGCGAUGCGUCUUCUUUCCCUGGUGCCUUCUGACUGAUCCUUCUACCUAGCUCUUCCAAUGGGGACAUUUUACCUACCUCUCAGUUCUGUGCAAAAAUCAGGCCAUUGAGAGGGGAGGAUUCAGGUGAGUCUAUGUCUGUGUGUGGUUGCUCCAGAACCAGAAGAAAGUGCCCAAGGGAAAUUUCUAUACCUCGUUCAGUUUAUGAAGUACAGUGAUCACAUGAUGAACCCAAACAACUGGGACAAAGAGAUGAGUGAGAAAAUGGAAAUGAAACCAGAAUGUGAGCAUGUUGAAUGAAUUGGACUCCCCAGAGAUUUGGGGGAGAAGAAAACCUCCCACUCGCCUUUGACUUUUGGAUUUCUUGUUUCCUUCAUGUUUGGAUUGCACUUUGAGAAGUCCAUCUGGAAGUUCACUUUUUAUAUUUUGCAAAUGCAAGUCAAGCUUAUUAUCAAAAGACAAACCUUACAGGAAGCAAAACAGUGGAUGGGGGUGGGGGGAUGUCAGGAUG